rnacentral:rRNA from 1 species
AUUGCCCUAGUAACGGCGAGUGAAGCGGCAACAGCUCAAAUUUGAAAUCUGGCUCUUUCAGGGUCCGAGUUGUAAUUUGUAGAGGGUGCUUUGGAGUUGACUGUGGUCUAAGUUCCUUGGAACAGGACGUCGCAGAGGGUGAGAAUCCCGUAUGUGGCCGCCAGUCUUCGCCGUGUAAAGCCCCUUCGACGAGUCGAGUUGUUUGGGAAUGCAGCUCUAAAUGGGAGGUAAAUUUCUUCUAAAGCUAAAUAUUGGCCAGAGACCGAUAGCGCACAAGUAGAGUGAUCGAAAGAUGAAAAGCACUUUGGAAAGAGAGUCAAAAAGCACGUGAAAUUGUUGAAAGGGAAGCGCUUGCAGCCAGACUUGCCUGUAGUUGCUCAUCCGGGCUUUUGCCCGGUGCACUCUUCUAUAGGCAGGCCAGCAUCAGUCCUGGCGGUCGGAUAAAUGCCUGCUGAAUGUACCUCUCCUCGGGGAGG